CACAAGCGGUUAUUUGAGAAAGAGAAGCCAUAAAGUGCAAUUACGACAUUUCUUGGUAUCAGCACCUUCCUCCUGUGCAGCCCAAAAUAAGCAACCACGGCCAUAAUUAUUUUUGUUGGCCCGAGAAAGCAAAAUGGUCCUGUCAAGGGUUAACAAGAGAGGUGCUCCUUGGAACUUUUAGCCGAGAAGGGAUGAAUGGAGCAACACUGAACAGACGUCUCGUUGUGCAGAGACCGGCAGUGCUGCUGAGAGAAAAAUGUCUCCCCUCGGAUGCUGCAGACAAAGAAUAACACUGCUCCCUCCAGACCAAACACCGAGCCUUUGGUGUCAGACAGAGGUGACAGAUGCACCAUAAGGAUCUGGUAAUAACCUACAUGGCAUACUGGCAGUACGG